CAUUCAGUAGCCCAGCUACUUGUUUACACCCUUGUCUUUUUGCGUACUUAUCGUUUCCUCGGCGGGCUUGCCUGCCGGUUGGACAACUUUAUAACCUUUUUAAAUCUUCAAUCAGCGUCUGAAUGAUAUACAAUAAUUA
rnacentral:misc_RNA from 1 species